GCCUGAUUGGUUCAGUUGGUAGAGCACGUGACUCUUGCUCUUAGGGUCGUGAGUUCAAGCCCCACACUGGGCA
rnacentral:tRNA from 1 species